rnacentral:rRNA from 1 species
UACAGAGGUCUCAAGCGUUGUUCGGAUUCAUUGGGCGUAAAGGGUGCGUAGGCGGCGAGGCAAGUCUGGUGUGAAAUCCCGGGGCUCAACCCCGGAACUGCACUGGAUACUGCUUUGCUAGAGUACUGGAGAGGGAACUGGAAUUUACGGUGUAGCGGUGAAAUGCGUAGAUAUCGUAAGGAAGACCAGUGGCGAAGGUGGGUCUCUGGACAGUUCCUGACGCUGAGGCACGAAGGUCAGGGGAGCAAACGGG